GCCACCGACGUGCACCGCAGGGUCUGUACGCGUAACCCGGAGUUCGGUACGGGCGUGUAGUGCACGAGCGAGCUAGGCCACGUGCCUAGGAAGCCUCAUCUUGUAAGAGCUGUAAGACACCCAUGUAUUCUCUUUAGGUGGAGGAUGGCCUAGAGUCUGGAGCUGCAGAAGAGGCAGGGAGGAGAGAAGGGGAAACAAGCAUCUGAACGGCUAAAUUGUGCCAGCAGCGCUGAGAGCGAGAGUCACGAGACCUUGCUGAGGACGUGGUUGUCUGUCCUUCCCCCGGGGAUGCCGUUGACUGCAGCCGUCUCAGGCUCGCGUGGCUUCUCUCUGCCCGGCCUCACCGUCCUUGCAGCGCGGGGGCGAAAAGGGACACACAGAGCCCUUCCCGGCUGUGGACAGGAGCUGCCUCGGCUGAAGCUGGAGACACCAACGAAAGGUGGAGGAUGGCCUAGAGUCUGGAGCUGCAGAAGAGGCAGGGAGGAGAGAAGGGGAAACAAGCAUCUGAACGGCUAAAUUGUGCCAGCAGCGCUGAGAGCGAGAGUCACGCCCGUCGCUCCAGGAGCCAGGCGACGGACGGUCCCUUCCCUGCCAAACCAGGACAAGCGUGUGCCGUGGUUUAGCCCCAGCUGGCAACUCUGCACCAGGGAGU